CUCUUGCUGUCCUGUUGCCUCAUUACAUUAGACAAGAAGUUUUCACUGGCAUCCCAUUGUACAGAAUUAUUUCUAGAUUGAAGAGCGAUUAGAAUCACACCAAAUGGUUCAGAUCUUUCAGCUAAAGAAGAGAUCUAUCUUCUCCUCACUUUCCUUCACAAUGAACAUCUUUCUGUAUGUUAAAUGAUAUUCAUUUGACCAAGAGGCACUUAGAAGCCUUAGCAAAGAACACAAUAUGGAAAAGUUGAUGGGAUUAGGAAAUCUUCCUGACAAGAUAACUUGUUUUAUGAUUUAGAAUAGCUUGAGUUAUCAAAAAAAGUGCUUUGUAAGUAUCUUACAGACCAUUAUACAGUUGGGAAUGCUGGAAAGCCAGUUGACUGAAGUUUAAUUUCAUUUUCAUUUUCCAAUGGCAGAAAUCCAAUUUCAGCUUUGGUAUUUCAUAUUCCCCAUUUUGAUUUUCUACAAAACUGCUUGUAUAGAUUUCUACAGUUAACCUACAAAUA